rnacentral:rRNA from 1 species
GGAGUCUAGCAUGUACGCGAGUCAUUGGGACAUAACUAAACCUAAAGGCGAAAUGAAAGUAAAGGUCAGCGUAACGCUGACCCAGGGAAGAUGGGCGACCGUUUCGGCUGUCGCCCCGCACUCCCGGGGCGUCUCGAUCUCAUUGCGAGAAGAGGCGCACCAAGAGCGUACAUGCUGGGACCCGAAAGAUGGUGAACUAUGCCUGGUCAGGACGAAGUCAGGGGAAACCCUGAUGGAGGUCCGUAGCGAUUCUGACGUGCAAAUCGAUCGUAGGAACUGGGUAUAGGGGCGAAAGACUAAUCGAACCAUCUAGUAGCUGGUUCCCUCCGAAGUUUCCCUCAGGAUAGCUGGCGCUCAUAGAUGACGAGUUUCAUCCGGUAAAGCGAAUGAUUAGAGGCAUUGGGGUCGAAACGGCCUCAACCUAUUCUCAAACUUUAAAUGGGUGAGAUCUCCGGCUUGCUCGAACUCUUGAAGCCGCGAGACUCGAAUCAGAGUGCCAAGUGGGCCAUUUUUGGUAAGCAGAACUGGCGCUGUGGGAUGAACCAAACGCCGAGUUAAAGCGCCUAAAUCGACGCUUAUGGGAUACCAUGAAAGGCGUUGGUAACUUAAGACAUCAGGACGGUGGCCAUGGAAGUC